rnacentral:lncRNA from 1 species
AGAGAUAGUGCUCAAGUGAACCAAGAGAUGAGCGGCGGCAGAAAUAAGACUGAAGCCGUGGUAAAAAGGUGAGAACAACACCUUAUAUUUACAACCCCUUAUCUUGGGUGUGGCUGGUUGGGCCCUGAUACUGAAACCUAAAGCCCAUCUCCAGCAAAUAACAGAGGACCAGACUACCACCCAUCAUCUUGGAUUGCAAUGUCCCACUUUUAUUACGCUCAUCCUCAUCUCGGGCCAGACUGAU